rnacentral:rRNA from 1 species
CGGCGGACGGGUGAGUAACGCGUGGGCAACCUGCCUUACACAGGGGGAUAACAGUUAGAAAUGACUGCUAAUACCGCAUAAGACCGCAGUACCGCAUGGUACAGCGGUAAAAACUCCGGUGGUGUAAGAUGGGCCCGCGUCUGAUUAGGUAGUUGGUGGGGUAACGGCCCACCAAGCCGACGAUCAGUAGCCGACCUGAGAGGGUGACCGGCCACAUUGGGACUGAGACACGGCCCAGACUCCUACGGAAGGCAGCAG